CUUCCCUGCAGCAUUAGGACCCUGUUUAAUUUCCUCGCUUGCACGCUGCGCGAGCCUUUCUAUUCUGAAGAUGCGUCAGUGCUUGAGGUCAUGUUUACUUGAACUGAAUGUGGAUGGGUUGGGAAACCAACCCUUAAAGAAUGGGCCGAAGUAAAAUUCCCAGUUGGUCGGGAGGAACGGAAGUUGCCAGGUAGCUGAUGUCAACAGCUGCUAUCUAUUGGGUUGGAUGGGAGGAACGGAUGUUGCCAGGUAGCUGAUGUUAACAGCUGCUAUCCAUUGGGUUUGAUGGGAGCAAUGGAUGUUGCCAGAUAGCUGAUGUCAAUGGCUGACAGCCAAUGAGUUGGAUGGGAAGAACGGAUGUGGCCAGGCAGCUGAUGUCAACAGCUGAUAUCCAUUGGGUUGGAUGGGAGGAACGGAUGUUGCCAGGUAGCUGAUGUCAGCAGCUGAUAUCCAUUGGGUCGGAUGGGAGGAUCAGAUGUUGCCAGCUGAUGUCAGCAGCUGAUAUCCAUUGGGUUGGAUGGGAGGAACGGAUGUUGCCAGGUAGCUGAUGUCAACAGCUGCUAUCCAUUGGGUUUGAUGGGAGCAAUGGAUGUUGCCAGAUAGCUGAUGUCAAUGGCUGACAGCCAAUGGGUUGGAUUCUAGCUGGAUGGUUGAUGGCAACAGUUGACGACUAGUGGGUUUUCAGCUAAGGUUUUGAAGCUGAUAUAGACAUCGUCUUCAGCCUGUGAAGCUAUGUAAGGUUGCCGUGAUGCCAGAAUUAUUAAUGUAGAGACUUGUCAGUGUGACUGAAGUUGAUGCGGUGGCUGAAAGGUUGUGGUGGCUGGUUUGCAGCGCAAGGGUGAACCGUCAAGCUUCUCUGUAGUUAUUGUACAUUAUAACUUUUAAACACUUGUAUCAGUGUUGUACCUCAUUUCAAGAACAGUUUGAGAAAGUAACUGCUUGUUUUUGACUUCUCAGUUCUUUGUAUAAUUUUUAUUUUAUUUUUUUGUGUUUAUUUACUGGUUUCUUUUAAGUUUAAUAAAAAUCGCUAUAACAGCUCAA